rnacentral:rRNA from 1 species
GGGGCCAAAACCUGAAACCGCCCCGCCCGCGUGAGUGAAGAAGGUCUUUCGGGUUGAAAGCUCUUUUUGACUGA